CUUGAACACAAGCAUCACCACACUGUGACAGUCGAUCUGGUCACCAAGACAGCUGUUGACUAAAGCGUGGGGAGCUUAUACAGAGUCCAUAUGCUGGACAAAGGGAGGAUUCAUACCCUGGGAUGGAGAGCAAUACAUCAUCAUCUUUGGAGAAUUUAGCGACGGCGCCUGUGAACCAGAUCCAAGAAACAAUUUCUGAUAAUUGUGUGGUGAUUUUCUCAAAAACAUCCUGUUCUUACUGUACAAUGGCAAAAAAGCUUUUCCAUGACAUGAAUGUUAACUAUAAAGUGGUGGAACUGGACCUGCUUGAAUAUGGAAACCAGUUCCAAGAUGCUCUUUACAAAAUGACUGGUGAAAGAACUGUUCCAAGAAUAUUUGUCAAUGGUACUUUUAUUGGAGGUGCAACUGACACUCAUAGGCUUCACAAAGAAGGAAAAUUGCUCCCACUAGUUCAU
rnacentral:lncRNA from 10 species